rnacentral:rRNA from 1 species
GAGGCAAUAACAGGUCUGUGAUGCCCUUAGAUGCUCGGGGCUGCACGCGCACUACACUGGACGAGACAACAGGUUGGUUGGCCGAGAGGUCUGCCAAAGCGAGAAUCUCGUCCGUGGCUGGGAUAGACGGUUGGAACUCCGUCUUGAACAAGGAACUCUUAGUAAGCGUGCCUCAUAACGGCGCGUUGAUUAAGUCCCUGCUUCUUGUACACACCGCCCGUCGCUGUUUCCGAUGGAUAGAUUAGUGAGGCGCCUGGAUGGACACUUUGUGUUGAGAAGGGCUACGAACUUGUUUAUCUAGAGGAAGUAAAAGUCGUAACAAGGUUUCCGUAGGUGAACCUGCGGA